CCCCCCUUUCUUUCCUCUCCCCUCUGUCUUCCCCCGGUCUAGUUGGGGGGAAGAAAGGGCUAUGGGAAACAAAGAGUCCCAGUCCUCCAGAGGUGUGGGGCCAAAGGGAGAGCCUUCUCCCAAGCGCAGGAGGCCUGGAGGGGGCUAGAGAGAGUGCCAGAGUGGGAGAGGGUGGCGACGGUCACCUCCCAUCCUGGAAAUGGCAGACGGGCACCCCAAGGAGAAGGGAGGGCAGAAUCGGUACCCACUAGCAAUGCACACACAUCCUACAGGAGAAAGAUGAGGAGGAGCAAGGAUUACUUCAGAUGUCUGUGUGCUGCCUACAGCUCCUACUAGUAAUGAUGAUGAUGAAGAGGUCAGGAAGCUUAAGGUGUGUAUUGAGCUGAAGGGGCUCUGCCUCCGCAAGCCCUCUGCCUCCUCCCCUGAGAGACUAGAGGUCAAAGAGGAGAGGGCAUGGUCAUCACAUCACAGCCCUUCCUCCCUGUCCCGGACACUCCCCCCAGCCCAAGCCCCGCCCCCGCGGGACAGGAAGUUCAAGGUCGACCCGGAAGUGAAACCUCUGCCACAGAAACCAGAGAUCACGAAGAGCUGGGCCAGAGAGAUGCUGGCUAACGGAGAUGCUAAACGCGGUAGGUACAAUGAAGGUUGCAGUGAUUUUUCUGUUGCCUAGUCGUCAGUGAUGGUGGGCUUUCACUGCUGCUGUGUUCACUAUAGAGCAGUCUUGUGCUUUGUGCUAAGAUGUCCUGUGUUCUUUUUCUAUACCCUCAAUAUCUCCUCAACAUCUCCUCUCUGGUGGUGGUGUUGAAACCACCGAAGUCAAUCUAUGUUCUUUAUGGUUUAGCCUAUUCAAAAUAUGGGGGCAGGUGUAAUGUGACUAACGUGAUGAAUGACUCUUUCCCCUCGAGGCCAGUCAAAUAGAGAGAGCAAGAGAAACAGAACGAAGGACUGUUAAAGUAGGGCUUUCCAUGUGCUCACACCAUAGAGAGAGGGAUUAGAGACGAAGAGUAAGAAAGGGAAUUACCUGGGGUGUAUUCAUUACGCUGUGGAAAACAUCUAGUCUGUUGUAAAAUGUGUGUCUCUCCCAGACAGAUGUUCAUCCUCAUUUAAUAAAUCAG
rnacentral:lncRNA from 1 species